CUGGUAGUACAGCUGUGGGAGUAUUAAUACUGUGUGUGUAGGGGCACUGGUAGUACAGCUGUGGGAGUAUUAAUACUGUGUGGGGAGGGAGGGCACUGGUAGUACAGCUGUAGGAGUAUUAAUACUGUGUGUGUGUGUGUGUAGGGACACUGGUAAUACAGCUGUGGGACUAUUAAUCCUGUGUAGGGGCACUGGUAGUACAGCUGUGGGACUAUUAAUCCUGUGUGGGGGACACUGGUAGUACAGCUGUGGGAGUAUUAGUACUGUGUGU